GACGAUAGAGGUGAAAUGUGGGAAACUCGGAUGCGGCCAAUCGGUCGAAUGCAAAUCGGAAGUGGUGUCGAUGUACACAUUUUUGCCGGGCCGCUCGGCCUUGAAACCUCCCCGCCAAUGGGCAGUCGAAUUUCUCGAUGCUGACCGACAAAAUGGUCUUAGCUCGUUGAUGUUGAUCGGGGGCCAGAUGGGGCACCGAACGAGAACAGCAAAAAGUGAAGAUACAUUGUGGAACGAAAAGCCUGGGCGCGGGGGAUCGGCAGAUUCGAGCUGGCCUGUGUUCGUGCCAUAAAAUGCUGUUUGUAUAUAAACAUUGUAAAUUCAUUUAGAUGCUCUCCUUCUGCGAGGUGGGCCUCGGAUAAUGUUUUUAUUCAUUUCUGGCCUGCACCUCGUCGGCUCUGCUCGGCCGUGGAGAGCCAGCCAGCAACAUUGUCGCUCUUCUGGCCUAUGUUUACCGUGAGAACGAUUCAAGAAGAAAGCAUGAAUUGGCUGCCGGCUCGAUGGAGCUCACCGCAUGCCCCAUUGGGUUGCCAAGACGUGCCGGCAGGCAAUCUCCCGAAAUCCUCCCCUUCGCACAACAGUUUGAUAAAUGUAUGGCAAUUUGCAAUUUGUUUGUUUUUACUAUUCUGCUCCGGAGCUCGGAUUGUGCGUACAGUUGUGCGCCUUUUGGCUGGCACGCCACCGCGCCCCGUGGACACUUCCUAGUUCUGAACGAAAGCAUGAAAUGCGCGACUAAGAUGUUGAUCUAGCGGUUGGGGCGGUAGGGCGCGCGCAAAGUAAACAUUUUCAUUUAUAUUUAUCGGCUCGGGUCUUUGACACUUGGGCCCAGCACUGUUUGCUGUACACAAGUCGAGUACAUGAUUUUCUUCGAAGUGAAAUUUAGCGGGAAAUCCAUUCACUGACGGAACGCAGAGGUAAAAGUCUUGGAAAGGGCUGUGGGCCCGAAAAGCGGGGAUGCGUGGCCUCUGUGGGUGGUGUUAAGGUCGUUGAAUGAAAAACGCGCGGCAAUGAAAUCGCAAGGUUCUCUAUGAUAUGCUGAUAAGAAGGCGAAUUUCUCAUGGGAAAUGUUUUCCCUUGCAUGAAGUUGAGCCUCCGGUGUCAGCGUAGGGUCGCCGGGGAGCACGCAAGUGGGCGACUGGAUUAUUUGUAGCCCAAGUGGAUGUUGUGGAUUUUUCAAGGCUGUCGUUGAGGUUGAAUUGCGAUUGUUUUAGAUGCGAUUGAUUGAUGUUUAUGGUUAGAGCUUGAUGGAUUUGGGGUUCUGAAUGGGUGCCUGAAUCCGGCAGUAAGUGGUUGAUAAGAGCUCACUUAGUGUAGUGAAUGCGAGCAGCGGGGAGUGGAGAACGAUUCGGAUUUUUUCGGGGUCAAUGAAAUUUGUUCUGGAGCUUUUUUCAUUUGGUAAUUAUCAUCUCAAUUGCCGCCUAGAUAGUGCGUGUGUUGUGUUUUCGAGGCGAAAUUGGAAAUAUUGUUUAUUUUUGGAAUUUACAUACAUAUUCAGACUUUAUAUAAGUUCCACAUUGAUAGAAAAUUUAUGAAGUUUAUUUGUAGAUUGUAGUGAAGCAAGUGAGGUGAGGUAUUGGAGACUUGGAUGAAAUUUUUAGCUUCUCUGAAAUGAUCUACAAGAGCUUGCAAUAAAUAUUACUGAAUGUUUGAAAUGCUAUGUAAGGAGCGAUUUGGCUGUAGAGUGGUAGAAUUGAAGCAAUUGACAUAUCUGGUAUUCGCUAUGUUUAGGCAAAAGGGUAUCUAUUAUUUUCAUCAUUUAGGGAUUUUACCAUCAAACGGGAGAUUAAUUUACCUCAUCAAUGGGUUAAAUUUUAGAGGUUAUAUGAGGUAUGAAUUUAGUUUCUACCUAGCUUUAAAGGUGAAAAGGUCGCAAAGAUGCUUCCGUCAACAACUUGUUAGAAUAAUACCAAGCUCGGAAAGCAUUCCAAUCAAUCUUCUAAAGCAAGUAGGAGGGAAAUUGUAGAGUGAUCGAAAUUAUUGUUUCUUGUUAGCACUGAUGGGUUCUUCUUCCACAUAUUGACUGCCAAAAGCGGAUCAAAGUUGUCAAAAAUGUUGAAUAUAUUCGGCAGAAACUUUUCUUCAUUAUUGGAGAAGAAUGGAAGUCGCGAAGUUUACCGUCAACAUAAUCCAGCAGGUUCUUAAUAAUAUUGUACUCCGAAAUUACGAUAUUACAUAUCUUACAUUCGACAUCUGCCUCAAUGCCUCAAGGCCUCAAUGGUUUUAUUUUUUUGUUGCAUUAUGGCUCAUAACAUAACAUUUAUAUCAUGUUAUAACAUUUUUGUUGAAACUUGGGGGAAUUCCCCAAAAUGCUUUCACUUCUGAAUACAUUUACUGAGACCGUUUAUUUUUCAACUAGCUUUUAUUUAUUGUAUCUUCUCUGGUUUAAAAAUUUUACAAUAAUUUUUCGAAUCUUAAAAGCCAAUCGUAUAUGUCAUUUCGUAUCCCAUGUUACUUUCAUAAAAAGACAUUACUUAAACUCUUGGAUAUCCAACAAUUGGUUCCAAGUAUAAAAUGUCGGAAAAGCAGAACGCUUGAAUUAUGAAAGGUUUUGUGUUUUCUUACAAAAGAUGAUGAGGUUUUAGUGGCCAUAUCGCCCAUUUUUACCUAGCACGUAAUGUUGCAUUUAGUUUGUCAAACUAUUCACUUAGUGUGAUUCUGACACUCAAUGCCUUAGAUUGCAAUAAAUUUGCACAAAAGAUAACUUUAUUAAUAACAGUGCAGUUUCCCUCAAGUAUAGUAUAUAUUACUGCAAAACUUGAUGAUUCUAGAAUAAAUUUAAGGAGGUUUCAAGAUUAAGGACUAAUAACAAAUAUAGUAAUAUGCUGUUUUUAACUUUAUUUAAAUUUAUGUCGGUAUGGAGAAGGAAGGAGAGCAACCUGUGUAUGGACCACCAUAAUCUUUUCAGAUUUUGAGGUUGUAUAGUUUCUGGGAACGGAACCUUGAAGUAAUUGACCUCCUUCUCUUUGCAACGAAUGCUAAAACUAAUAUCGACUUCAAUACGUAUGUAUGGGAUCCCUCCCUCUUAAACUCAAUGUAGAACAAUGUUACUGAUUGCAUGCGAGUCAAUCCCCACAUUUUCUGCAAUUUCGUAUCAAUAAGGGUAACAGAUAGACCAUAAUUCGAUUUUAAUAAAAAAUUUUUUACAAAAAAUGCUUCUCGCGAUAAGUCUUAGGAUGAGUUUGGAGCAAAUUUUAGCUAGUUCAGUCAGGUAGCUUGUUAGUUCUGCCCAAUAUCCAUCUAUGUGGGGGGGUUAAGACCCCUUUGUAAAAUAGAAGUUUACACUCUAAUUGAAUAAGUAGAUCGAUGAAUAAGCGAUCGAAAAUUACCCAAUUUGGAAAAAAAAUUGAAGGUUGCAAUAUGUACACCUCUAACGCAUUAAAAAAGUAUAGGUGAAAUGACUGCGUGCGAAAACAUUGUGUAUCUACAGCUCCUAAUGAAAUAUAGAUACAUACAUCACUAUCCAAAUUUCAGACUCCAUUAAGGAGUUUUACUUGUUUUCGGAUUCGCGCUCAAGACAAAACUGGAAUCAUAUCCUUAUUUGUAUUUCAAUGGGACUAACAGCGAUUUCUGGGCGCUCUACAAAUUUUCCAUUAUUUCCCAAAGCAUGUUCAUUAAUUCUACCAUGUAACUAUAAUUUGUAGUGGUUAAACCCCGCAUUAAGAAACAAAACCAUCUGUAUCUGCUUCAAUAAUAUGAGGAAUUCAUCCAAAUGUAGCAUAUGACUUCUUUAUAAAUUUGAAGGAUAUCAAUUUGCAUUGAAUCCUGUUGGGGGAAGCACCUAACUAAAAGUAACAAUGGACUGGACAUCCAAUAGAAAAAAAUGAACCACAACCCUACCAGAUUUGUCAGAUUCACAGGACGAUUCAUUAACACUGGAUCAAUCAGCACAUGAUAAAUUUCCAAGUAUGGAAAAUGGAGAGAUACCUGUUCUUAAAAUAUAUUUUCUAUUAUCGUGAUGCUACCUCGUUCCUAAAAGUUAGCAAAGUGUAUUUUGAGAAGAUUUCUACCUUCAAUGAAUAAAUUUUAGCUAUUCACCCUAAUUUUUAAGUUUCGAAACUAGUAUUUCAUUAAUAUACCUAACAAUAAAACAUAUAAUGUUCCCAAGAUUUUCCGACCGAAUCUUUCUCUCUCUCUCCACAACUUUUAUUUACGAGCAAAAUUUUAUUAGGCAGUUUCAUAGUGCAGGCCAAAUUGUUUUUUUUUUUGAUUCUUAAUGCAGGUAGAUAAGGGAGACUGUAACAAAAGUCUUUCCGGUCACGGCAAUUUUGUUAACGGAACAGUAUAGAAAUUAACGUUUCGUGUAAAAUAUAUCGUAGUUCUACUUCGAUUACAGUUCUGCAAGCAAUCCCUUGCAAUUUUUUAUCUAACUCUCCUUAGAUUUUUACGUAGUUGCUAACUAGUUUAACGCUGCGGCUUUUUUUUAAUAGUUAGAAGUAAUGUUUUCGAAAGUAACAUCUCAAUAUGCCAUCGUACAUUUCACGAGCAAUAACCGCCUUCAGCCCAAAUAUAUCACAUCGAAACCAUGGGUAUUUGAGCUUUUAAGUUGUAAAAUUUCAUCUAUUUUCUAUUAAACCAGGUUGCAUUGAUUCCACGGAAACGUCCGCCUCAACAACAGAAAAUGCGUUGCUGACAAGUCCUUAUUUAAGUUAUAUCCUACUUUUUGUAUUUUUUGUUAUAUCAUAUAUCAACGUAUUAUAUUCAAAUAGCAAGUUUUCAUAUAUUUAACGACAUACCAGUGUCGGAUUCACAUUUAUUGGAAGAUCGCACAGCAUCUUAGGCGCCAUGUGCUACAGAAAAUUCCUUGCAGGUAGAAAUUUUCAUAACUUUCGAAGAUUCAAUUCUUGCCUUAGAAUUCAAUUGUCACAUGAUUUUCCACCCACUACCAGAGGACACAUUUUUUCAAUCUCCUAAUAUUUUUCCCAAAUUCAUUUCAAGAAGUUUCCCAAAUUAAGGUUCGGGAAUAACCUUGAAAAAGUAUCAAAUUCAACACAUGCCGCUUAAGGCCAUAGUAGAAUCAGACGUGAUGAAGGCAAAAUUCGGACAGUACCCUGCUCUUUGAAAAAAAAACGUUUUUACCUGCUAAGGAAUUGAAAAACAAUAAAUUGCUUGACCUUUUUGAAAUGAAACCGUUUUGUAUGAUUUGAAUAUUUUCAGACACAUACUAACAUUAACGCCAUCCAUUUAUUGCUUAAAUGAUAUUUUCUAAAGCUUGGUAAACUUGAAACAUGUUAUUAAAUAUGAAAACGCUCUACGUUUGUAGUUGAGCUAGGUAAAGGGAUCGGAAAUGGAGCCUCCAGAAAUAAAUCGGUUUACUUCAAUAAA
rnacentral:lncRNA from 1 species